ensembl:misc_RNA Metazoa_SRP Metazoan signal recognition particle RNA
GCCAGGUGUGGUGGUGCACGCCUGUAGUCCCAGCUACUUGGGAGGCUGAGGCAGGAAGAUGGCUUGGGCCCAGGAAGUCCAAGGCUGCAGUGAGCUAUGAUCGCACCACUGCACUCCAGCCUGGGCAACAGAGCCAGACCCUAUCUUUA